AAAGGAAAACAACAUAAUGCAAUUGGCCCCAACUAUAACAUGUGAGUUUACUUAUUAGAAUAUUCAUGGCUAACUUCAGCAUAUUUUAUUACAAUUAAAAUUCCUUAUGUUCAUUUCUAGUUUUCAUUAACACUUACAAAAGUAACCACCUUAUUUUCAUUGCACUCCCUAUUUCAAAUACGUGUGUUUGUAUAUGAAACAAUGAAAACCUUUUAAUUAUUUUUGAAAACAAUGAAGUAAUAAUUUUGUAGAAACUUGUAAUUAUUAGUAAACACAAGAAACAUUAUCUCAAACCAAACAAGUCCUAAAUAACUUAAAUCAAUAACAUUUUCUCAUGCCAUGACUAAUAUUAAACUCAAAGGAGGUUUCUAGCUGAAAAAGUGAGUGUACUAUUUUCUUAGUAUGAAAAAUGACGGCAUAUGAAGAUUCAUAACAAAACUGUCAAACGUAAAGUCUAAGCAUGCCAAUAUAUAAGCAUGUUAUAAAUUUAAGAUGGUGUUAACACAAGAGAGUGAUUGUAAUUUACAUGCAAGUCAAACUAAUAUCAACACAAAAUAUAUUCUCAACAUUGCAUAAGUGUCACACCAUCAAAAAUCCAGCGCAAACAUGGAAUAAUCAGACCACAAUAGAUAACCGAAAUACGCACAUCAAUACAAAAACACUAACCCAAUCUGAAUUGACCCAAAUAAAUAUCACCACCUUAGCUCAACAGAAGCCCCUAGCAAGAUUAAUAUGAAACUGAGCAAAACCGAAACCUGUACAUUCGAGAAUCAUAACAUGUUGAAAACAACAGCAACACACUUAAACCAGUGACAUACAUAUCAAACACUAAAAGAAUGAAACGGAAAAUGCCGACAUGAUACGCACAAACAGCAAAUGAAAAAUAAAUUAGAACAUGGUAAACAGAGAUAAUCAAAUUGAAAAAAAACCACUUGAACCUCGAUGGAUGACGUUGAUCUUGCUACAUAUCCAGUUGUUUUCCGUAUUGAGCUCGAGACAUUGAGUAUCGUUACACACAAUAAUGACGAUGAAGACGGAGUAACUUACCGUUGAAGAGAGGUUGACAGCGUGAGAUGCAGAUUCAAUACCGUUAAUGGUGCGGUUGAGUUCGGAAACAGAAACAAUGUUGUCGUUGGUUCGUGUUGCUGAAACGGAAUGUCAACACGGCGUCGUUGUUAGUUGGAUGGAGUUCUGUCCAAAAAUAACAAGGUUAAUGCGCGGUAGCUCUUCGAAUCGGACCGAGUUUCGUGGUUGGGAUUUGAAGAGAAAGUCGUUCACGAUGUAGAUCGGCAGACCAAUAGAGAAGUGGUUUCGGUUGUUUGUUUGGUGGCGGAAGAGGGUUCAAAGGGGAUUUUGGCGAUUGAGAAUGAGAAAGGGAUAAUCGUGUUGGUGAGCUUGGUUUUUCAUCGGUGAAGACGAUAAAGGUGGUGGUGAGCGGUGAAGCAGAAGGUUUGUGUGGGUUUCCGGCGACUGGAAGAAGGUCGUCGCCAGCGUCGCUGAAUAUUCAGAGUGAUGGGUUAUUUUAUGAUGGUGAAGGCAAGACGGCGAGUUGAAGCAAACUAAGGGAGUGAAGCGAAUAUUGUGGUGCGGUUGUGUGCCGGCGGAAGGAGAAAGAAGAAGACAUUCAGAAAGAAACCUUUUCUUGUGUCUGUUGGGUUUUUUUUAGCCAAUGAGAGAGAAGAGUAUCCUUUUCUUUUCUUUUCGUUGAGAGUCUCUCAGUGAGGUACUGAAUAGUGAGUGGGUUAUAUGAAUGAGGUGAGACUGAGAAAGAGUUAAAGUGAGUGAGGUGAUAGGUGGCGUGUGUUGAGAGAGAUGGAGGUAGCGUGAAGGUAAGAGAUACGCAAGCUGGAUACCAG
rnacentral:lncRNA from 1 species